GCGGCCUUGACGUGAUUGCGCUCUUGGGAUAUGCCUGAGACAUGUCUGCUUCAGUGCUUCUACUUUCAUUUUCUGCUGCUCUUGUUAUCGGGAGCAGUGUUGCUGCAUGCUUCUGCAAAAGGCACUGGCAUGCUAAGUAUCAAGUUUUGCUUGCUGUUCUGACUGAUCAACAUCUCAUGUCGUUUCAGUUGGCGAAACAAAAGCUGAAGUGUGUUCUUAACACUUCCUAGCAUGAAGUCAGACAAGUGAACCCGCUGAACUUAAGCUAAUGGAUCCCAAAAAAAAUUCAAAUCUUGACCUCAGAUCAGGCAAGGCUACCCGCUGAACUUAAG
rnacentral:rRNA from 1 species